AAUUUAGUCAAACCUUCAAAUAACUCAGUAGUUCUGGGAUUGUUCUAGAUUUGCAUAUCAAAAUCCCAGUGAUAAUCAGGUGAUGGAUUCAGCCUUUUGUGUCUAUGGACAGCACUCAAAAGCACUUGGUCAAGUUAUUUUUGAAAUUGAAAAGUAAUAACACUAUUUUUUCACUACCUCUGUACUAAGCACACCAUUGCACAACAUAGCCUUUGCUUUACUUCCAAUACUCCACUAAUUUGAGACUAAAAUAUCCUUUGAAACAUCAGGGGAACUUCUCUAGUCUUCAUCCAAUGAAAAGAGAGAGGAAGGAUUUCUGCGCCCUCUAUUUUAAAUGCAAGGCAGUCUAAAAAGAGGAAAUAUAUACAAAAUAUUUAGUUUAUUUUAGAUUUGUUCAUGUUUAGUGAUUGAAGUUUUCAGUCUUCUAAUAGAGUGUAAAAUUAGCCCUGAGAAAAAUAAGAACUCUGUUUUUUGGGUGGGUUGAAAUGUCAUGUGUUUUUUGGCAUUGGUUUUACCAAGGUAAUAGUUCUCUGUGUAGCUGAAUUUGCCAUUUGUGACAGCAAAAUGAGGAACCUGAAACCCUGCCUCCAGAGAUGCUCCAAGCUGAUGUUCAGAUUCCCAGCUAGACUGCCCAGGUUAACUGUUCCUGAGCUGUGAGUGCCAUGUAUGUACUUGUAACAAAUGGACUUUAGAGCUAGAAGGGUACACAAAAUAAUGUCAGUAACAUUCACCAAAGUAUCUAUAACCUUUUGGAAAGAAAAUUGUCUGUAGUUUGUAAGAUACAAAAUGCAUUCCUACAGGGGGUUGUGAGAAGGACAUGUUGAUAACCAGUUCAUGUGAUUUUCCUGUUUUGCUCAUGCCUGUAGCACUUGUGACUUAUUAAGAGAUGGUGAGUCAUCUUUUUCCACAUGGCCAUUAAUUACACCUUUGGAUUGCUGUGCUCUGUUACAAGAGCCAGCUUAAAUAUGAACAGCUGUAUGACUCUUUCACAGAGCCUACCUUAGAAGCAAAAAUUGUCAGAUUUAAGCACAGAUUAGCAUAAGUUAUGUAAAAAGAAAAAAAAAUGUGGAAUUUGGUGAAAACUUUGGUGAGGCUAAGUGGUCUUUAUAUCACUUGACACAUCCAUUUGGAUAAACUGAAAUCUCAGUGAAAUAUCUGUCCAGGUUGCUCUGGGUAUUCAAGACAGAGGAGGAGGAGAAAGUCAUCUUCCAGAAUGUCUGGGCUGAAUAAAGAAGGAGAGGGAGGAUUUGGUGGGUU
rnacentral:lncRNA from 1 species